rnacentral:rRNA from 1 species
GAGGAAUAAGCAUCGGCUAACUCCGUGCCAGCAGCCGCGGUAAUACGGGGGAUGCAAGCGUUAUCCGGAAUCAUUGGGCGUAAAGCGCCUGUAGGUUGUUUACUAAGUCUGUUGUUAAAGACUAGGGCUUAACCCUAGAAAAGCAAUGGAAACUUGUAGACUAGAGUAUGGCAGGGGUAGAGGGAAUUUCUAGUGUAGCGGUGAAAUGCGUAGAUAUUAAAAAGAACACCAGUGGCGAAAGCGCUCUACUGGACCAUUACUGACACUCAGAGGCGAAAGCUAGGGUAGCAAAAGGGAUUAGAUACCCCUGUAGUCCUAGCCGUAAACGAUGGAUACUAGAUGUUGUGCUUAGUACAGUAUCGUAGCUAACGCGUUAAGUAUCCCGCCUGGGGAGUACGCUCGCAAGGGUGAAACUCAAAGGAAUUGACGGGGGCCCGCACAAGCGGUGGAGCAUGUGGUUUAAUUUGAUGCAACGCGAAGAACCUUACCAGGGCUUGACAUACUACAAAUUCUUUUGAGAAAGAGAAGUGCCUUCGGGAAUGUAGAUACAGGUGGUGCAUGGCUGUCGUCAGCUCGUGUUGUGAGAUGUUGGGUUAAGUCCCGCAACGAGCGCAACCCUUAUUUUUAGUUACCAAUUCGUUGGGUUUUUUAGAAAGACUGCCGGUGACAAACCGGAGGAAGGUGAGGAUGACGUCAAGUCAGCAUGCCCCUUAUGUCCUGGGCUACACACGUGCUACAAUGGUUAAGACAAAGAGUCGCAAGCUCGCGAGAGUUAGCUAAUCUAUUAAACUUAGCCUAAGUUCAGAUUGUAGGCUGCAACUCGCCUAGCAUGAAG